AUUGAACGCUGGCGGGAGGCUUUACACAUGCAAGUCGAACGAGUGGCGGACGGGUGCGUAAUGUAUGGGAAAGUGCCUGGUGGAGGGGGAUAACUACUGGAAAAAGUAGCUAAUACCGCAUACCAUCAGAUCUGCCCAGAUGGGAUUAGCUUGUUGGUGGGGUAACGGCUCACCAAGGCGAAGAGACCUAGCUUGUUUGAGAGGAUGACCAGCCACACUGGGACUGAGACACGGUCCAGACUCCUACGGGAGGCAGCAGUGGGGAAUAUUGCACAAUGGGCGCAAGCCUGAUGCAGCCAUGCCGCGUGUAUGAAGAAGGCCUUCGGGUUGUAAAGUACUUUCAGCGGGGAGGCGUUACCCGCAGAAUAAGCACCGGCUAACUCCGUGCCAGCAGCCGCGGUAAUUC
rnacentral:rRNA from 1 species